rnacentral:rRNA from 1 species
UACGGGGGGAGCAAGCGUUGUUCGGAUUUACUGGGCGUAAAGCGCGCGCAGGCGGAUAUUUAAGUUGGGCGUGAAAUCUCCCGGCCUAACUGGGAGGGUCGCUCAAAACUGGGUGUCUUGAGGACUGCAGAGGUAGGUGGAAUUCCUGGUGUAGUGGUGAAAUGCGUAGAGAUCAGGAGGAACACCGGUGGCGAAGGCGGCCUACUGGCAGUCUCUGACGCUGAGGCGCGAAAGCUCGGGAGCGAACGG